rnacentral:tRNA from 1 species
GGAGAGAUGGCUGAGUGGUCGAAAGCGGCAGAUUGCUAAUCUGUUGUACCGUAUUACGGUACCGGGGGUUCGAAUCCCCCUCUCUCCU